GAUGAAGAACGUAGCGAAAUGCGAUAAGUAGUGUGAAUUGCAGAAUUCAGUGAAUCAUCGAAUCUUUGAACGCACAUUGCGCCCCUUGGUAUCCCGAGGGGCAUGCCUGUUCGAGCGUCAUUUCACCACUCAAGCCUGGCUUGGUGUUGGGCGACGUCCCCUUUGGGGACGCGCCUCGAAACGCUCGGCGGCGUGGCACCGGCUUUAAGCGUAGCAGAAUCUUUCGCUUUGGAAGUCGGGGCCCCGUCUGCCGGAAGACCUACUCGCAAGGUUGACCUCGGAUCAGGCAGGGAUACCCGCUGAACUUAAGCAUAUCAAGAAGCGGAGGA
rnacentral:misc_RNA from 1 species